AACCACUCACGCCUAGCGUGGUAUUGGGGCACGCGGUCUCCGCGGCCCUCAAAAUUAGUGGCGGCGCCGGUGGGCUCUAAGCGUAGUACAUACUCCCGCUAUAGAGUUCCCCCCGGUGGCUCGCCAGAACCCCCAAUUUUUUACA
rnacentral:misc_RNA from 1 species